rnacentral:rRNA from 1 species
GAAAAAAGAAAGAAAAAAGAAAAAAAGAAAAAAAAGAAAAAAAGAAAAAAAGAAAAAAAGAAAAAAAGAAAAAAGAAAAAAGAAAAAGAAAAGAAAAAGAAAAGAAAAAGAAAAAGAAAAGAAAAACCUGUUUGGUACUUGAUACGUGUCAUUAAUUCUGUGAAAAUAGUCAGAUCCAAAAUCAAUGGAGCAGCCAAGAGACUGUCCUCACAAGUAUUAUGGAGAGCAAUGGUGUUGCGUCCUCCCAUAAAGAUUUCAUUGUAGUAUUCGUCCAAUGCACGCUUACUGUCUCCAACGGCGGGGACGUAUUUAAUGACAACCACGUGGUCUGGAUGUUCUCCUUCUUGAAAAAGAAUUCUAUUAGAAGCAACCAUGUCGUCUACGACAUUGCUUUUGGAAAUUUCCUUGGAACGGAAUUGUGAGGGAGCAGAGAGAUUGUAUCCGUCAUUGUUAC